rnacentral:rRNA from 1 species
UUGGUGCCUUCGGGAACUGUGAGACAGGUGCUGCAUGGCUGUCGUCAGCUCGUGUUGUGAAAUGUUGGGUUAAGUCCCGCAACGAGCGCAACCCUUAUCCUUUGUUGCCAGCGGUCAGGCCGGGAACUCAAAGGAGACUGCCAGUGAUAAACUGGAGGAAGGUGGGGAUGACGUCAAGUCAUCAUGGCCCUUACGACCAGGGCUACACACGUGCUACAAUGGCAUAUACAAAGAGAAGCGACCUCGCGAGAGCAAGCGGACCUCAUAAAGUAUGUCGUAGUCCGGAUUGGAGUCUGCAACUCGACUCCAUGAAGUCGGAAUCGCUAGUAAUCGUAGAUCAGAAUGCUACGGUGAAUACGUUCCCGGGCCUUGUACACACCGCCCGUCACACCAUGGGAGUGGGUUGCAAAAGAAGUAGGUAGCUUAACCUUCGGGAGGGCGCUUACCACUUUGUGAUUCAUGACUGGGGUGAAGUCGUAACAAGGUAACCGUAGGGGAACCUGCGGUUGGAUCACCUCCUUA